rnacentral:lncRNA from 1 species
AUGGCCUCAAGUCCCCCUGAAGCUGGCCCCAUUGGUCCCCAACCCCCCCAAUGUCCCCAAAGUGUCCCCAAAGUGUCCCCAAUGUCCCCAGUGCCCCCAAUGUCCCCAAUCCCCCAAUGUCCCCAAUGUCCCCAAUGUCCCCAACCCCUCCCCAAUGUCCCCAAUCCCCUCAAUGUCCCCAAUGUCCCCGAUGUCCCCGCUGUCCCCAGGAUGGCGGCGCAGGUGCCCCCCUGGAAGCUGGCGCUGCUGGAGCGGCGCCGCCGGGAGGACGAGGCCGCUCGGCGCCGGGAGCAGGAGCAGCGUGAGCGCCAGGCCCAGGUGCCCACCUGGAAACGGGAGCUGCUGCAGCGGCGCCGCGCCCGGGCGGGGCCGGCGGGCACACCUGGGGGCACACCUGGGCAAGGGGGCACACCUGGGGACACACCUGGGGGCACACCUGGGCAAGGGGGCACACCUGGGGGAACACCUGGGCAAGGGGGCACCGCUGGGUUGAGACUCUGGUGUGCACACCUGGGCAAGGGGACACACCUGGGCAAGGGGGCACACCUGGGGGAACACCUGGGGGCACACCUGGGGGCACACCUGGAGGAACACCUGGGGGCACACCUGGGCAAGGGGACACACGUGGCAUGGGGGGCACACCUGGAUCAGGACCCACACCUGGGGGCACACCUGGGUCAGGGGGCACACCUGGAUCAGGACCCACACCUGGGGGCACACCUGGGGGGGCACACCUGGGCAGGAGGGUUUAGGGGGCUCCCACCUGGUGCUGGCGCCAGGGACGGAGAAAUGCGGCCGUGCCGAAAAUGCCACCUGGGACACCCAAAAUCCUCCCCAAAAUCAUCCCCAAAAUUCCCCCCAGGAACCCCAAAACUGCCCCCAAAAUUCCCCCCAGGAUCCCCAAAAUUGCCCCCAAAAUCCUUCCCAGGACUUCCAAAAUUGUCCCCAAAAUUAUCCCCAAAAUCUCCUCCGGGAUCCUCAAAAUCCACCCAAGAUCCCAAAAAUCCUCCCCAAAAUCCCGAAAAUUCCUCCUGGGAUCCCCAAAAUUCCCCCCAGGAUCCCCAAAAUUCCCCCUGGGACCCCCCAAAAUCCCCAAAAUCCGCCCCGGGGCCGGGUCAGUCACCUGCGGAGCCGCUUUGUCCCCGAGCCGGGGGGGGACGAGGGGCGUGGGGGGGUCACCCUGGGGUCACCUGGGGGUCAAGGGUCAGCCAAGGACAUAGGAAUGGUCAAAGGUCAUGGAGUGGUCAGUGUGGGGUCACCUGGGGGUCAAGGGUCAGCCAAGGACAUAGGAAUGGUCAAAGGUCAUGGAGUGGUCAGUGUGGGGUCACUUGA